rnacentral:rRNA from 1 species
CCUACGGGAGGCAGCAGUAGGGAAUCUUUCACAAUGGGCGAGAGCCUGAUGGAGCAACGCCGCGUGCAGGAUGACGGCCUUCGGGUUGUAAACUGCUUUUAUAAUGGAAAUAUAGGAUAGUAACUAAUGAGUUAGGAUCGUCUAACUACGUGCCAGCAGACGCGGGCAUACGUAGGAUACGAGCAUUAUCCGGAGUGACUGGGUGUAAAGAGUUGCGUAGGUGGCAUAAUAAGUAGCUGGUGAAAUCUGGGGGCUCAAACAUUCAGAAUAUUAGCUAAACUGUUAAGCUCGAGACCGUUAGGGGUAACUGGAAUUUCUGGUGUAGGAGUGAAAUCCGUAGAUAUUAGAAGGAACACCAAUAGCGUAGGCAGGUUGCUGGGACGGUUCUGACACUAAGGCACGAAAGCAUAGAGAGCAAACGGGAUUAGAUACCCGGGUAGUC